AGCCUUCUGAAUCCGUCCCGAGAUUUUAUCAGACACCAGACCAUCAGUACUGAUGAGACUCUCAUGAUAAGUGAGAUG
rfam:Schistosoma rodhaini strain Burundi genome assembly, scaffold: SROB_scaffold0001728